GGAUGGAGAGAAGGGAGAGGCCGAGCCCCAAGAGCAGAGAGGAAGAAGGCCAGAGCAGUCCCUGGCAAGAGAAGAAUCUGGCAGGAAAGACCUGGAAAAUAAGGGGUUUGGGGGCGGGGAGCUCCUCAGAAGAUGGGAAAGGGGGACUCCUGCAGACCCCGGAGAGAUCGAGAGCCCGAGUGUUAACUCCUGGGGCCGAGAUGAGAGCGCGAUGGCUCUUUGCUGGUCUCCGAGCUGAUCGUACCGAGGGAAGGGGAGAGGCGAGGCGGGGAUGCGAGUUUCCUCAGUUAAAAGUGAAAGUGUUUGCCAUCAGUGACAGCUGAGGCUCGGGGAGGUCGGCGGCGACAUGGGCCCCUCUCUCCUCGCCCGUCCUCCCUCGGUCUCUCCUCUUUCUUUUCUGCACUUUGUCCAAUGAAAGAAGGCGAGUUCGGGAGGUGAAAGUUCAGCAGAAGGACAAACCCCUGUUUGCAAGGAAACAGAAACCCCGCCAGCGAGGGGUUUUUCCUGGUAUCGCGGCAUCAGGAGAGAGUGCACGGCGGGGCGAGCUUCCCCCCUUCCCUGUCAGUCACUGCAGGAAUGCACGGUCGGGCCCACUGGGGGGAAGUGGCUGCUUCGGGAACUGCGUUCCUGCCACGGCUCCUCUUAGGAAAACACCCGGGGGCUGGCAUGUCAAUCAGUUGUUUAACACAAACUACCUGCUCGCCCACAAUCAGUCACGUGCAAAAGCUUUCCCAAUUGUGCAAAGGUGAGAUUUUUUUUUUUUUCUUUUGGCCGUUUUGAAGUUCGCUCGAAUUUUAGAAAUUUGAAGGAGGAAACGAGGAGCCCGAAGGAAAUCUUUUUAAAUAUAUACAUCUAUAUUUUUUUUAAAAAAGGAUACUAGUAUUUCUUUCACUUUUAUCAAUAUAAAUAGAGGAAGAGGCCGAAUUUAUUUCCAAAACGUGACUUAGAAAUAUAUAGGUCCUCCACUGGCUUGUUGCUAUAACAGAAAUAAUUUUUUUUCAGAUUCAUCACCCCGGAUGCUGCCAAACUCCCAAGCCAGCACGUACAGGUUCUAGCUGGAUGGUUUACACCAGGCCAGUUCUUCAUCAAAAUGCCUCAGGAGCCAACCCUCUGAAUUCCUACAAAGUACUUCCCGCAGGAGAGCGAGAGACUUGCUGUCCCUUUGGUCUUGACACUUAGCACAGUUGUAGAUAACAAAUAUCCUGAAAGGGAUAUUAUAAAUUCUUUUGGGUGAUGUACUUUUACAAAUUCGGCUAUACAUUCAUUGACAGGAGAUUCAAAUCUCCGUGUCAAUGACAGGCUACCACUUACCACUUUUUAAAAUUGUAUCUGUUUUGCAAGUAAAAAAAAUAAAAUUAAAACCAAGCCAUUCACUGGUGCUGUACAAUCAGGCACAAGGGGCUGCGAUCAGCUAGUUCCAGCACAGCAGCAUCCAUGCAUGAGGCCCCGGCGCCAGGCUCCAGUCUACCCAGACAAAACCAUCCGCCCGAUCUUCUAGGCUAGAAACUGGAUAGAUGAAACGCAUUUUAGUGUUGCGUUUCCUAGCUUCCCAGAGCUCCGUGUUCCUGUUGUCUUUGUCAAGACAUUAACACAUGUUCCCCUGUGUUCUAGACCAUAGAGUGGGCUUUUAGAGAUGCACAGAUAAAUAAAACUCCUGCCAGGAGCGCUGCAGCCUACAGCUGUCAAUCAUAACAUCUAAUAUUUAUUGAACGCUUUCUAUGGCCUAGGCACUGAUCUAAAAGCUUUAUGUCAACUCACUUAAUACUCUCCGCACCCCUUUGACAGCACUGGAAAUUCCACAUUCUGAAUUCAUAUGGCAUUAUUCAAAAAAAUCUACAUAGUAGCCAGUCUAUUGGGAAAUUUUUGUUUUUAAUUUCUAUGAUGUUUCUGCCAAAUAUAACUUGUUUAUGAUCCAUGCCUGGUUGUAGAGAGUAUCUCAGGGGAAUAGCAAUUUAUUUAGACGUGACACAUCUAUUAAUUGUCGGUGAGGUAUCAUCCUGAUCUUGUUUUUCAGAUAAGCCACAUGGGUUGUGUUUUUUUUUUUUUUUUUAUCAUUAUUGCCAUACUAAAAAGAUUCUUAGAUUGCCACUGAUCUCAGUCUGCAUUUUAACUGCCUUAAAUUCUACAUUCAUUUGCAAGUGGAGGCCAGAGUCAGGUUGGCAACAAGUUUGUAGACAAAAGGAAAUCCUGGCUGUAAAUCCCAUAAUAUAUGGCACUCUGCUUCAUAUGGGAUGGUCUAAUGCGGAGACUUAUUAAGGAACAGCUAGCCCGCUGGGGCUCCCGUUCCAGGGAACUUACUGCAGCUUAACGUCUUGCUCAUUGUCGACACCGUCACGUUACAUUCGUAAGGAGCAGAUUUUAAUUUCUUUAUCAGUAAUCAACUGGAAGUUUCUUUUUGUUAAAUUACAGCAAGAAGGGUUUUCAAAUAAAGGGCAUGGGGGUAGGACGCCACCUUUUGGUGAUAAAAAUAAAUAGAAAUCCUUUUUGGAAACAUGUUCCUGACAUAAUUUUAUUUUUAAUUACACCCAGGCAAUGGUGCUUGUCCCCGUUUCCUCAUAUUUUAAGGUACAGGAAAGAAAAAGAACAAUAUAAAUGGACAAUUAGCAAAUUACUGCUAACUGCAGCCAGGAUUUCCCCAGAAGUACCAGAAUGUGUCGGUGUCCUGCCGCACACCGCCAACUAGACAUCAGCCAGAGCCUUAAUCUCCACGUACUGUGCCACGGAAUAUGUGCACAUUUUGGGAAAAGGACUUGGAGUGGAGACAGUUGCCACCUCCUGAGAUGCCUGAACUCCUGGAAGUUUAGAAUUGAGCAGAAAUCAGAACAACCUCGUUCAGUGUCUCUUAAACCAGAGUUAGCGCCUUCCCAAUUUUUUUGCGCUACCUAUAUGACGUCGUUUCUACAUAAUCCUCACACUGUACUCACUGGUGAGCAGAUGUGGUGGUGGUGGUGUACCAUUUCCACUUCACAUCAACCUACUUGGCAUUUUUCUUUUACUACUUUCAGAGGGAAUACGUGUCCGCCUCCAUAAACAAGCACAGUGAAACAAGGUUACUGACUUCUCUUUGUGCAAGUUUAGCGAAAGGAAAGUAGAAAAUGCAUUAAAAGAGACUGACCAGGUACACUAAAGGUCCUGGAGACUUCUACAGAUGCAAACCUCUCUGAAGGUUUUUCUUCUCCCCCUGCACGCCCCCGGGCUCUGGAACAAGCAGAAGGAUUCAAAGUGAUUGAAAAUGAUACAGUCCUCAGCAUGGGAGUCUCCGCUCGCUAAUGCCAGCCCGUGCCCAGGCUGCACAGCAGCGUUAUCAGAUUGCAGAUGUGACCCAUCCUCAGACCUCAGGCAGCAUGCCUAGCUCCCCAGGAACAGCCAUCCUGUGUAUCCCUUUAGAGACAUGGAGAAACCGAGGCCACGCUCAAGAUCAAGUUCAACGCCCUUCUCAGCCUCUCGGAUGUGGCAGACACCUGAGUGGGCAAACACAGGGCAGAGGGAGGGCUGCAGGGGCGGAUUUGCAAGUGUGGGUGGGCCGUUCUCAAAAUGAAAGCCAAAACCUUUGAUUUCCCUCCCAGAAGGUGAAAAAUACUAAUGAAAAUCACGUGUUUUACCCUAAGUGCCAGGAGGAGCCCAUCCUCUCUGUGCCCAUGCCCCUGUCUGUCCAAGCUGGAGGUCAGCAGGGUGUCUGCUGUUUUACCGUAUAUGAUACCAACGGGUACUGAGACCCAGUCACAUUUGCUAACUGUGUGGCUGGCAAAGUUAGCCAGGGGGGCCUGAUCGACUCCAGCUUUGCAAGUAUUUUCCUUAAAAACAAACUUCGCAGGCUCAGAUUUAAAUCUGGAGAUGUAGUGUCCUUUGUGAUAUCCUAACCAGACAGGGGCUUUAGCUACCAAGACCGCAUUUCCUGCCUUGUUUUAUUUUGUUCCUUUAAAGGAUGCAGUUGUAUACACAGAAGUAAAUAUGGCCUGCCAACAGCUUUACGUUUUUCUAAAUUGGUCCUUGUGACAAGAGGUUGCCAAGAACUCUACUGUAUAGCAGUUGGCCCCAGGGACCAGAUGGAUUGGAGUCCCUCUGCAUGACAAUGCACAAGAAAGGACUUGGCCAGUUACCUUCAUGCCAAAGAGCUGUCCCUGCGCCCUGAGCCCUGAGCACCCCUGCAAAAUGUUGGUACCUCAAAGACACAUGAAGGGAGUAUCGGAGGCACAACCAGCUGCCAGUGCUAGAUCCCUCUUGCCUCUAGCCUUGUUGUGCAAAGCAUGAUGUGCUCCCCUGUCACACACCUGAGGGCAUCUUAAAAUGCAGAAUCUUGGCCCCACCGGAGGCCUACUGAAUCAAAAUCUGCAUUUUUUGCAACAGCAUCCACUGAGCCUCCCCCAGGCUGAGAUGAAGUACUACAAGCAGCCACAUCUGGGUCCUCUUUACAGCUUGGCACUAUUUGACAGAAGUUCCCAUGAGCCGUCCGUCGGUCAUACCUGAUUCUCCAAACGGGCAUCUUUUAUAAACAUGGGUUAGUUUCUUCUUUUUUAUCCACUUAUAAAGUUAAGCCAUUAAAUCACCCAUGUAAAGCAUGAUUAAUUCCUUUGACAUUAAUAACAGGGUGACUUCUCUCUCCUGUUACCCCAAAGAGACUGCUAAUUGCACUGCAAUUGUUUACCUUUGUAUUGUUUUAUGAGAACUCAGGGAAAGAUGGAAGAUCUUCCCCACCAGGCCAGGAGCAAAACGCCAGACAGGUUUUGGAAAGCCUGAGCACAUGCUAUGACUACACCUUGUUAGUAGAAGGGCUUUGCUUUCUUUGUUUUGUUUUCUUUUUUAUGGAAGGAAUGACGCCUCCAUAAUUAUAGGUGUUGCUGUUUAAAUCUCAGAAUGUUUUCCAAACCGUGGAGGGGCCACACCUCCAGCAGCCGCCUGUGAGCCAUCGGGGUUGGACUCUCUCUCCAGCUCGAUGAACAGUUUAUAAAGACCCAUCGGAGGGCGCCAGGAUUUCCAUGAGCUGGAGGGACAGCAAGGGGUCCUGGUCCGAGUAGGGCUGCUUCCUGCCUGGACAUGAAGGACCCUCAGGUACUCUGCAGCCCUGGUGAGGUUCUCAGAGAGACGACAGUUGGUUCAUUUCCCUACCGAGACAACAGGUUCCUUUUGUAACCCCCCAAAAAAUAAUUAAAACCAUUGUUUUAAUACUA